GAGUUUGAUCUGGCUCAGAUUGAACGCUGGCGGCAUGCUUUACACAUGCAAGUCGAACGGCAGCGGGGCUUCGGCCCGCCGGCGAGUGGCGAACGGGUGAGUAAUGCAUCGGAACGUGCCCAGUCGUGGGGGAUAACACAUCGAAAGAUGUGCUAAUACCGCAUACGUCCUGAGGGAGAAAGCGGGGGAUCUUCGGACCUCGCGCGAUUGGAGCGGCCGAUGUCGGAUUAGCUAGUUGGUGGGGUAAAAGCCCACCAAGGCGACGAUCCGUAGCGGGUCUGAGAGGAUGAUCCGCCACACUGGGACUGAGACACGGCCCAGACUCCUACGGGAGGCAGCAGUGGGGAAUUUUGGACAAUGGGGGCAACCCUGAUCCAGCCAUGCCGCGUGAGUGAAGAAGGCCUUCGGGUUGUAAAGCUCUUUCGGACGGAAAGAAAUCGCCGCCUCUAACAUAGGCGGUGGAUGACGGUACCGUAAGAAGAAGCACCGGCUAACUACGUG
rnacentral:rRNA from 1 species